UUAGGGCUUUGAAGAUUGUCUGAUUCUAGACAGGCUCCUGGACAAGCAUGAUAACAACUUCGGAGCUGUCUUAGAGGAAUACUCCAGAACGAGAAACAAGGAUGCUGAGGCUAUCUGUGAUUUAUCCAUGUACAAUUAUUUAGAGAUGAGAUCACUGGUUAAUUCCUUGUCUUUCUUUCUGGAGAGAAAAAUAUUAAGUGUUUUGCACUGGCUGAUGCCUAAGACAUUUAUCCCCCUUCAUACCAUGGUAAGAUAUGUUUUUUAUCACACUUCUUAACAGUAGGUUGUAAAAUAUGUUAUUUUACUGUACCCAGUUUUCUUGUAUACUGCCCUGAUAUCCAGCCUAAUAAUAUACAUGAAAAAAUUACUCUAUUCUGAUUGGCUGAGAGCAGUGCAGUUCAAGUGUAACACCAGUGUAAAAAGUGUAACACCACUGCAAAUUACACAUCGUAAUUCUGAAUUAUGAUAGGAAAUCGUCAAAGCCAAUGAUAUUACGUAAAAUGAUGACGAAAAUUUUGUGCG